rnacentral:rRNA from 1 species
AGAGUUUGAUCCUGGCUCAGGACGAACGCUGGCGGCGUGCUUAACACAUGCAAGUCGAACGAGGCGCUUGCGCCUAGUGGCGAACGGGUGAGUAACACGUGAGCAACCUGCCCUUGGCUCUGGGAUAGCCUCCGGAAACGGGGAUUAAUACCGGACAUGACCUGCCGUUGCAUGACGGCGGGUGGAAAGUUUUUCGGCCA